rnacentral:rRNA from 1 species
UACAGAGGUCUCGAGCGUUGUUCGGAUUCAUUGGGCGUAAAGGGUGCGUAGGCGGCGGGGUAAGUCUGAUGUGAAAUCCCGGGGCUCAACUCCGGAAUUGCCUUUAAGACUGCAUCGCUAGAAUUGUGGAGAGGUGAGUGGAAUUCCGAGUGUAGAGGUGAAAUUCGUAGAUAUUCGGAAGAACACCAGUGGCGAAGGCGACUCACUGGACACAUAUUGACGCUGAGGUGCGAAAGCGUGGGGAGCAAACAGG